GCUGCUAUCGGGGUUCGACUAAGCCAUGCAAGUCUGGUAGCAAUACCGGCGAAAUGCUCAGUAACACGUCGAUAAUCUGCCCUAGGGUCCUGGAUAACCUUGGGAAACUGAGGGUAAACCAGGAUAGGGAAUAAGGUCUGUAAUGAUAUAUUCCCGAAAAGCAAUGCCCUAGGAUGAGUCGGCGUCUGAUUAGGUUGUUGGUGAGGUAAAGGCUCACCAAGCCUAAGAUCAGUAGGGGCCUUGAGAGAGGGAGCCCCGAGAAGGACACUGAGAUACUGGUCCUAGCCCUACGGGGUGCAGCAGGCGCGAAACCUUUACGAUGCACGAAAGUGCGAUAAGGGAACCCCAAGUGCUUAUGCAUUGCAUGGGCUUUUGUCGAGAUUAAAUAUCUCGGCGAAUAAGUGGUGGGCAAGACUGGUGCCAGCAGCCGCGGUAACACCAGCGCCACAAGUGGCGUCCAGAAUUAUUGGGCCUAAAGCGUUCGUAGCCGGCAGAGUAAAUCUCUUGUGAAAGUGUUAGGCCUAACCUAACAAAAUGCGGGAGAGACUGCUCUGCUAGGGACCGGGAGAAGCUGGAGGUAUUCUGGGGGGACCGGUAAAAUGGGAUAAUCCUCAGAGGACCACCUGUGGCGAAGGCGUCCAGCUAGAACGGCUCCGACGGUGAGGAACGAAAGCCAGGGGAGCAAAACGGAUUAGAUACCCGAGUAGUCCUGGCUGUAAACUCUGCGAGCUAGGUGUUGUGCAUUCCGAGAGGAUGCGCAGUGUCGUA
rnacentral:rRNA from 1 species